GUGUGUGUUGUCUUUAGUUGGAUAUUAGUGGACAAAAAUGAAUGUUGUUUGAAUAAUGCUUUGGAUACUUAUAAUCCCUUUCAUGCACAUGUGUAAGUUCAUUUAAAUUAUUUUUAUUUUUAUUUUCUGAUUUUUUUUUUUGUCUGGUAAGGUAAUUGGUGUUUCUGGGUGUAAUGUCUGAUGAAAUGCUUUGAAUACUUUAUCAUGAAAUUGACUCAUAUGCUUUACCCACAUACUUUUCUAGACAAAGCACAUGAUGUCAUUCAAUCAAACUGAGUAACAGGAGCUGCAUCUGGGGAUACAGUGACUUUAGAUUGCUUUUUCCCUGCGGCUUUCCAACACGAACAUCUGUCCUGGUACAAACAAACACUGGGACAAAAGCCUUUUUUGGUGGCUAGGUCGUUUAAAGCAACUCCAUUCUGGAGUCCUUUGUUUUCUGAAGACUUUCGAAAUGGACGAAUGAACAUACAGCACUCUGAAGGAUCAUUUAAUCUGACCAUCACAAACGUCACAUCAUCUGAUGAAGCAACAUAUUACUGCAUUGGGGGAUUGAUUCCUUACCUUACAUUUGGAAAUGGAACGUUUCUGGCUCUCAAAGGACACAGACAGUUUGACCACAGCUUUAAUGAGGAUAGAGCAUUCUUCUGUGCAGUGGCCAACUGUGGACAAAUGAACACUGAAAAGAAGACAGUUUUGAACACAGGUAUUUGUUUUCAUCAAAUAUGAUUAUUGCAGAU
ensembl:lncRNA